rnacentral:rRNA from 1 species
UACAGAGGUCCCAAGCGUUGUUCGGAUUCAUUGGGCGUAAAGGGCGCGUAGGUGGUUCGGUAAGUCGGAUGUGAAAUCUCCAAGCUUAACUUGGAAAUGGCAUCGGAAACUACCGGGCUAGAGUCUAGGAGGGGGGAGUGGAAUUCUUGGUGUAGCAGUGAAAUGCGUAGAUAUCAAGAGGAACACCGGUGGCGAAGGCGACUCCCUGGACUAGUACUGACACUGAGGCGCGAAAGCGAGGGGAGCAAACGGG